GUGUUAAUGUGUUUUGAAUGUAUUUAUUGGUACCAUUGUGAGUGCUCUACUGUGAAUGAAUGCAGCUACUUAAAAUACUAUACUCUUGAAAUAUCCAUGUUUACCAUUGUGUUGGUGGUAAUGUAAAGUGUUGUGAAUAUCUGCCAAACUGAGCAUAUUCAUUAUUUCAAGUGUAUUGUAUAGAAUGCAUACUUAUGUUAAAUCCUAUCUUUUAUUGACAGAGCCCUCACAAAUAAACUGAUACCAGGAAUUAACAUACAGUAGAUGGUGAUGGUGGUGGUGACAAGGGUGCCUUCACAAGGUGCCAUGUCACAAUCUCAGUGUGGAGCCAAAGGCUGCUAUUGCAAGUCAGAUGGGGGACGAUCGAUGUAAGGCAUCAGAAAGGUGGUGUACGUACAAAGGCUGGAGCUGCUGGAGACAAUGUUGCACUUAGAUACUUGAUUUACUGCCGAAGGUACGAUCAGAGCACCACCCUACCCCUGCAGGACCAGAAGAGGACGGACAGGGGGCCAACAUUUUUUAACACUCUGACCAUGGACUAUUUAAACCAUUGAGGUAACGCAGACGUCUGAUCCCACUUGGCUAAAACAGAAGACUGAGGAGGAGUUUCUUUCCUCAUGCCAUUCGCAUCCUGAGCACACAUACUACAUUACAUGGACUUGCCAUACUGCACUUACACACUGCACUAUUUACCCCCUGACUCAUUCCGUGUCAAAUCAGACAAGGUUAUGCUGCACCGUCUCAGGCCUGUACAAUAUUUUUUUGUUCAAUCCUAUGUCUUCAUAUUAUAAUGUUUGUAUGGCCUGCUCAAUGAUUUUCAUUGAAAAGUGUUCAUUAAAAGUUCAAAUGGUA